UUUACAUAUAUGUUCAUUUAUUUUUUACUUCUGUGUGUUUUUUUUAAUUUUUAUUUCUUCCUUUUAUUUUUUUUUACUACGUUCUGAUUAUU
rnacentral:ribozyme from 1 species